GUCCCAGCUUAUGAAAAAUAAGUCCCCAUCAAGAUCACCACCAGAGCAUUCAUUUGGAUGAGGCCUUUCUCCUUUCUGGGGGAAAAGAAUGCAGUCAACCAAACCCUUCUCUUCCAAUUCCACUUCAUAGACAGCAUCAAGCACUCUUACAUCUCCUGGAUGAAGACAAGGAUUUUUAGUGACAACCACCUUCCCUGUUACUAUAGAUGUCUUUUCAUCU
rnacentral:misc_RNA from 1 species